AAAAACUGAGGUGGUGUAAGAUGGGCCCGCGUCUGAUUAGGUAGUUGGUGGGGUAGAAGCCUACCAAGCCGACGAUCAGUAGCCGACCUGAGAGGGCGACCGGCCACAUUGGGACUGAGACACGGCCCAAACUCCUACGGGAGGCAGCAGUGGGGAAUAUUGCACAAUGGGGGAAACCCUGAUGCAGCGACGCCGCGUGAGUGAGGAAGUAUUUCGGUAUGUAAAGCUCUAUCAGCAGGGAAGAAAAUGACGGUACCUGACUAAGAAGCCCCGGCUAACUACGUGCCAGCAGCCGCGGUAAUACGUAGGGGGCAAGCGUUAUCCGGAUUUACUGGGUGUAAAGGGAGCGUAGACGGAUAAGCAAGUCUGAUGUGAAAAUCCGGGGCCCAACCCCGGAAUUGCAUUGGAAACUGCAUAUCUAGAGUGUCGGAGAGGCAAGUGGAAUUCCUGGUGUAGCGGUGAAAUGCGUAGAUAUCAGGAGGAACACCAGUGGCGAAGGCGGCUUGCUGGACGAUGACUGACGUUGAGGCUCGAAAGCGUGGGGAGCAAACAGGAUUAGAUACCCUGGUAGUCCACGCCGUA
rnacentral:rRNA from 1 species